AUUGAACGCUGGCGGCAGGCCUAACACAUGCAAGUCGAGCGGUAGCACAGAGAGCUUGCUCUCGGGUGACGAGCGGCGGACGGGUGAGUAAUGUCUGGGAAACUGCCUGAUGGAGGGGGAUAACUACUGGAAACGGUAGCUAAUACCGCAUAAUGUCGCAAGACCAAAGUGGGGGACCUUCGGGCCUCAUGCCAUCAGAUGUGCCCAGAUGGGAUUAGCUAGUAGGUGGGGUAACGGCUCACCUAGGCGACGAUCCCUAGCUGGUCUGAGAGGAUGACCAGCCACACUGGAACUGAGACACGGUCCAGACUCCUACGGGAGGCAGCAGUGGGGAAUAUUGCACAAUGGGCGCAAGCCUGAUGCAGCCAUGCCGCGUGUGUGAAGAAGGCCUUCGGGUUGUAAAGCACUUUCAGCGGGGAGGAAGGCGGUGAGGUUAAUAACCUUGUCGAUUGACGUUACCCGCAGAAGAAGCACCGGCUAACUCCGUGCCAGCAGCCGCGGUAAUACGGAGGGUGCAAGCGUUAAUCGGAAUUACUGGGCGUAAAGCGCACGCAGGCGGUCUGUCAAGUCGGAUGUGAAAUCCCCGGGCUCAACCUGGGAACUGCAUUCGAAACUGGCAGGCUAGAGUCUUGUAGAGGGGGGUAGAAUUCCAGGUGUAGCGGUGAAAUGCGUAGAGAUCUGGAGGAAUACCGGUGGCGAAGGCGGCCCCCUGGACAAAGACUGACGCUCAGGUGCGAAAGCGUGGGGAGCAAACAGGAUUAGAUACCCUGGUAGUCCACGCCGUAAACGAUGUCGAUUUGGAGGUUGUGCCCUUGAGGCGUGGCUUCCGGAGCUAACGCGUUAAAUCGACCGCCUGGGGAGUACGGCCGCAAGGUUAAAACUCAAAUGAAUUGACGGGGGCCCGCACAAGCGGUGGAGCAUGUGGUUUAAUUCGAUGCAACGCGAAGAACCUUACCUGGUCUUGACAUCCACAGAACUUUCCAGAGAUGGAUUGGUGCCUUCGGGAACUGUGAGACAGGUGCUGCAUGGCUGUCGUCAGCUCGUGUUGUGAAAUGUUGGGUUAAGUCCCGCAACGAGCGCAACCCUUAUCCUUUGUUGCCAGCGGUUCGGCCGGGAACUCAAAGGAGACUGCCAGUGAUAAACUGGAGGAAGGUGGGGAUGACGUCAAGUCAUCAUGGCCCUUACGACCAGGGCUACACACGUGCUACAAUGGCAUAUACAAAGAGAAGCGACCUCGCGAGAGCAAGCGGACCUCAUAAAGUAUGUCGUAGUCCGGAUUGGAGUCUGCAACUCGACUCCAUGAAGUCGGAAUCGCUAGUAAUCGUAGAUCAGAACGCUACGGUGAAUACGUUCCCGGGCCUUGUACACACCGCCCGUCACACCAUGGGAGUGGGUUGCAAAAGAAGUAGGUAGCUUAACCUUCGGGAGGGCGCUUACCACUUUGUGAUUCAUGACUGGGGUGA
rnacentral:rRNA from 1 species